CAGGUAUCGUACUUUCAGUGUGCACACCCCCUAACCGGGAUUCCAAGCCCAACGGGUAGUAUCCAAUCUAGCAGCCCAGGAUUUUUCUACCAAGCUACUUCAUUUAAAAACUAACCUAUAAGGC